rnacentral:rRNA from 1 species
UACAGAGGUCCCAAGCGUUGUUCGGAUUCAUUGGGCGUAAAGGGUGCGUAGGUGGCGCUGUAAGUCGGGUGUGAAAUUUCGGAGCUUAACUCCGAAACUGCAUUCGAUACUGCGGUGCUUGAGGACUGGAGAGGAGACUGGAAUUCAUGGUGUAGCAGUGAAAUGCGUAGAGAUCAUGAGGAAGACCAGUGGCGAAGGCGGGUCUCUGGACAGUUCCUGACGCUGAGGCGCGAAAGCCAGGGGAGCGAACGGG